rfam:Stereum hirsutum FP-91666 SS1 unplaced genomic scaffold STEHIscaffold_2, whole genome shotgun sequence.
CCUCCGAUAGCUCAAUGGUAGAGCGCCGGUGUACUUUACCUGUACAUGCGAAAGCACAUUACUACCGGAGACGUUGGUUCGAGUCCAACUCGGAGGG